rnacentral:rRNA from 1 species
CUUAAUUCUAUUGGCGGUUGAUUAACCUUUCACAGGAAUUUGUUGAUUUUGAUGGAUACCCCGCUUUUACUUUUACUAUUGUUAAUUUUAUGUACGGCUGUUUUAUUUUAAUUUAGGUAUUUUUAUUAAAAAUUUAUUUUCUUAUAUCAGGUCAAUGUGUAGAGUAUACAGUAGUUUUCAGUGAGUUACUUUAAUAGGAUUCAUUUUUUAAUUAAUGUCGAAAUUGGAUGUGAUAGUAAAUUAAUAAUUUAAUUUUUUAUUGAUGAAGGUCCUAAUCAAAGUACAUAUCGCCCGUCACUCUUUAUUAUAG